rnacentral:lncRNA from 1 species
UUCCCAGACACCAGCUGUCAGAAACUCAUUGAAGUGGAUAAUGAAUGCAGACUUCAUACUUUCUAUAUAAAGUGUAUGGACACAGAAGUAUCUGUAGGUACUCCAGGUGAAAAGUGGAAGGCUUAUGGAAUCCAAAUCAAUGGUGGGAAGGACAAACAAGGCUUUCCCAUGAAGUCAGGUGACUUGACCUAUGGCAAAGUGUACCUACCUUCGAGUAAGGAGCAUUGCAUUUUAUAGACCACGGAGAACUGGAGAGAGAGAGAGAGAGUACAAGCCUGUUCCCAGAUACAUUAUGAAUGACAGUCUUAGUAUUCUCAAUUUGGAUAUUAUUGAAGAAGGAGAAGAGAUCCCUGGACUGACAGAUACUGAUUCGAUCCCAAAAGAGCUAGCAGAAUUGAAAAACUUCUCUCUCUCUCUAAAAAGCCCCAUAACAAAGAGGGUGAGAGUCCUAUAACAAGAGCACCCAAGAUUCAAUGCCUUGUUACUUCAUGUGACCUGAAUGUGACCUGAAACACAAGCACUAAUAUAUUGAUCUUCAGAAAAAUAUAUAAGAAAAACAAGGAAGAGGCUGUGGACUAUGCUAAACCCUUGGCCAAGAUAAUGAAGGAAGCUGAAGAAAAAAACCACAGAAACAGAUUGCCAAGAGACAUAAGCUGUUCUGUUCUCUUUGAGAGCUUCUACUUCUAAGUAUAAAUCCAGUCAAAAA